UGAAAGAGCGGUCGUUACAUAAGGC
rnacentral:piRNA from 1 species